rnacentral:rRNA from 2 species
AAAUUGAAGAGUUUGAUCAUGGCUCAGAUUGAACGCUGGCGGCAGGCCUAACACAUGCAAGUCGAACGGUAACAGGAAGCAGCUUGCUGCUUUGCUGACGAGUGGCGGACGGGUGAGUAAUGUCUGGGAAACUGCCCGAUGGAGGGGGAUAACUACUGGAAACGGUGGCUAAUACCGCAUAACGUCGCAAGACCAAAGAGGGGGACCUUCGGGCCUCUUGCCAUCAGAUGUGCCCAGAUGGGAUUAGCUUGUUGGUGAGGUAACGGCUCACCAAGGCGACGAUCCCUAGCUGGUCUGAGAGGAUGACCAGCCACACUGGAACUGAGACACGGUCCAGACUCCUACGGGAGGCAGCAGUGGGG